rnacentral:rRNA from 1 species
GAUGAACGCUGGCGGCGUGCCUAACACAUGCAAGUCGAACGGAGUCGUUUUGGAAAUCUCUUCGGAGAUGGAAUUCUCGACUUAGUGGCGGACGGGUGAGUAACGCGUAAGCAAUCUGCCUUUAAGAGGGGGAUAACAGUCGGAAACGGCUGCUAAUACCGCAUAAAGCAUUAAAUUCGCAUGUUUUUGAUGCCAAAGGAGCAAUCCGCUUUUAGAUGAGCUCGCGUCUGAUUAGCUAGUUGGCGGGGUAACGGCCCACCAAGGCGACGAUCAGUAGCCGGACUGAGAGGUUGAACGGCCACAUUGGGACUGAGACACGGCCCAGACUCCUACGGGAGGCAGCAGUGGGGAAUAUUGCGCAAUGGGGGAAACCCUGACGCAGCAACGCCGCGUGAUUGAAGAAGGCCUUCGGGUUGUAAAGAUCUUUAAUCAGGGACGAAACAAAUGACGGUACCUGAAGAAUAAGCUCCGGCUAACUACGUG